CAGUAGCCGCGGUAAUACGGAGGGUGCAAGCGUUAUCCGGAUUUAUUGGGUUUAAAGGGUCCGUAGGCGGACUUAUAAGUCAGUGGUGAAAGCCUGUCGCUUAACGAUAGAACUGCCAUUGAUACUGUAAGUCUUGAGUAUAUUUGAGGUAGCUGGAAUAAGUAGUGUAGCGGUGAAAUGCAUAGAUAUUACUUAGAACACCAAUUGCGAAGGCAGGUUACCAAGAUAUAACUGACGCUGAGGGACGAAAGCGUGGGUAGCGAACAGGAUUAGAUACCCGUGUAGUCCCUGUCUCUUAUAC
rnacentral:rRNA from 1 species